rnacentral:tRNA from 1 species
CAGAUAUUAGUUUAUAUUAAAAUAUUAAUUUUGGAGAUUAGAGAUAAAAAUUUUUAUAUCUGA